rnacentral:rRNA from 1 species
CAAUAGCGUAUAUUUAAGUUGCUGCAGUUAAAAAGCUCGUAGUUGGAUUUCGGGUGGGAAUGGCCGGUCCGCCGUUUCGGUGUGCACUUGCUACGCCCACCUUGCUGCCGGGGACGUGCUCUUGAGUUCACGCUCGGGACACGGAGUCGGCGAGGUUACUUUGAGUAAAUUAGAGUGUUCAAAGCAGGCCUACGCUCUGAAUACAUUAGCAUGGAAUAACACGAUAGGACUCUGGCCUAUCUUGUUGGUCUGUAGGACCGGAGUAAUGAUUAAGAGGGACAGUCGGGGGCAUUCGUAUUUCAUUGUCAGAGGUUAAAUUCUUGGAUUUAUGAAAGACGAACUACUGCGAAAGCAUUUGCCAAGGAUGUUUUCAUUAA